ACCAGCUGUUGCCGCAGGGUUAGACCUGAUGGUGUGGUGGUUGCAGUUUGUGUCGCUGCCAGUGCUUCAUACAACUGCCAAAAGCGUCCCAGGAACUCAUCGUCGCUGGUCAAGCACAUGUAAGCCACUCCACUGAAUCCCAUCAGCAGGCAUCCGGUCCAGACAUGUAGAAGCCUUGCCUUUCGCCGUGGAUGCGCAUCGCAUGGUAAGGGCAGUCCGUGCAUGCCCAUCAGCUGAUAGCAGCGCAGGCUAAAGUGCAGCACCUGGUCAAUGCGGUAAUCUCUCAUUGUUUGACUUCGGCUCCAACAGCGAUGACCCUAUCGCUCCAAACAUCCGUGGUCACGUGGCGUGAGAACGAACUAACUUCCUGCUUCAUUGCACAUUCGCAUGGGUGAGGACGGAGUGACUAAUAAUAUUGAUUGCCUUCUUCAUUCAUGCAGAUAACUUAAUGGACAUAUAUGCAUUUUAACGUCGACUUGGCCAACAUGUGCUCGCCACUGUAUAUAGAAAAUACAUACGUAUGUAUUUACAUAUAUGUACAUAUGUAUAUGUGCAUGCAUUUUUAUAUACAUAUAUAUAUAUAUCAUAUAUCAUAUAUCAUUUUGUAAUUGUUGUAUCUAUAGAGCAGAUCGAUCAAUACUCAGUUAAUUGUUCCGUUUUGAAGCUAAUCGUAAAUCCAUACCAUAUGCACACAUAUUUCAUAUUUGAGUUUCAAGAUUAUGUACUUAUAUGUAGAUACACUAAGUAAGCAAGAACUUCUAUCUCCAUUUACCGAUAUACCAUAUCGAAUAUAAGUCAAUAUAAAUAUACAUACAUAUGUACAUACAUAUAUAAGACAUACUCAUCGACACUCUCAUUGAGCCAAACAUAAUUAAUUAAAAUGAAAGAGUAAAGUGUAGAGUAAUAUUUCAA